rnacentral:tRNA from 1 species
AGAGGUGUAGCUCAACUGGUAGAGCACAUGCUUAGCAUGCAUGAGGUCCUGGGUUCAAUCCCCAGCACCUCCU